GCCGGGCGUUGUGGCGGGCGCCUGUAAUCCCAGCUACUCGGGAGGCUGAGGCAGGAGAAUCGCUUGAACCCGGGAGACAGAGGCUGCAGUGAGCCGAGAUCGCGCCACUCCACUCCAGCCUGGGUGACAGAGCGACACUCCGCCUCAA
rnacentral:SRP_RNA from 1 species